AUCGCUUCUAGGCCUUUUGGCUAAGAUCAAGUGUAGUAUCUGUUCUUAUCAGUUUAAAAAAAGAGUUCCAGUUCAAGACAUAAAUUAAGUGCUUUUGAGAGAAAUUCUGUUAUGUACCACCCCCCAAAAUGAUUAGACAGGAUUUCUGUCAAUAGAAGAUAAAUAAGUAUUCAAAUAAUUUCA
ensembl:snRNA U2 U2 spliceosomal RNA